CCUACGGGUGGCAGCAGUGAGGAAUAUUGGUCAAUGGGCGGAAGCCUGAACCAGCCAAGUAGCGUGAGGGAUGACUGCCCUAUGGGUCGUAAACCGCUUUUGUACGGGGAUAACACUGUCCACGUGUGGAGGUUUGCAGGUACCGUAUGAAUAAGGGCCGGCUAAUUCCGUGCCAGCAGCCGCGGUAAUACGGAAGGUCCGAGCGUUAUCCGGAUUUAUUGGGUUUAAAGGGAGCGUAGGCGGGUCGUUAAGUCAGCCGUGAAAGUGGGGGGCUCAACCGGGACAGCGCAGUUGAAACUGGACGCCUUGAGUGCGCGAGAGGCAGGCGGAAUUCGUGGUGUAGCGGUGAAAUGCUUAGAUAUCACGAAGAACCCCGAUUGCGAAGGCAGCCUGCCGGAGUGCUACUGACGCUGAAGCUCGAAAGUGCGGGUAUCAAACAGGAUUAGAUACCCGUGUAGUC
rnacentral:rRNA from 1 species